GUUAAGUUAGAAAGGGCGCACGGUGAAUGCCUUGGCACUAGGAGCCGAUGAAGGACGGGACUAACACCGAUAUGCUUCGGGGAGCUGUAAGUGAGCUUUGAUCCGGAGAUUUCCGAAUGGGGAAACCCACUGUUCGUAAUGGAACAGUAUCUUUAUCUGAAUACAUAGGAUAUUGAAGGCAGACCCGGGGAACUGAAACAUCUAAGUACCCGGAGGAAGAGAAAGCAAAUGCGAUUUCCUGAGUAGCGGCGAGCGAAACGGAAUUAGCCCAAACCAAGAGGCUUGCCUCUUGGGGUUGUAGGACACUCUAUACGGAGUUACAAAGGAACGAAGUAAAUGAAGCGACCUGGAAAGGUCCGUCGAAGAAGGUAACAACCCUGUAGUUGAAACUUCGUUCCCUCUUGAGUGGAUCCUGAGUACGGCGGAACACGUGAAAUUCCGUCGGAAGCUGGGAGGACCAUCUCCCAAGGCUAAAUACUACCUAGUGACCGAUAGUGAACCAGUACCGUGAGGGAAAGGUGAAAAGCACCCCGGAAGGGGAGUGAAAGAGAUCCUGAAACCGUGUGCCUACAAGUAGUCAGAGCCCGUUAACGGGUGAUGGCGUGCCUUUUGUAGAAUGAACCGGCGAGUUACGAUCCCAUGCAAGGUUAAGCUGAUAAGGCGGAGCCGUAGCGAAAGCGAGUCUGAAUAGGGCGUUUAGUAUGUGGUUGUAGACCCGAAACCAGGUGAUCUACCCAUGUCCAGGGUGAAGUUCAGGUAACACUGAAUGGAGGCCCGAACCCACGCACGUUGAAAAGUGCGGGGAUGAGGUGUGGGUAGCGGAGAAAUUCCAAUCGAACCUGGAGAUAGCUGGUUCUCUCCGAAAUAGCUUUAGGGCUAGCCUCAUGUUGUGAGAGUCUUGGAGGUAGAGCACUGAUUGGACUAGGGGCCCCCAACGGGUUACCGAAUUCAGUCAAACUCCGAAUGCCAAAGACUUAUCCAUGGGAGUCAGACUGCGAGUGAUAAGAUCCGUAGUCAAAAGGGAAACAGCCCAGACCACCAGCUAAGGUCCCCAAGUAUACGUUAAGUGGAAAAGGAUGUGGAGUUGCUUAGACAACCAGGAUGUUGGCUUAGAAGCAGCCACCAUUUAAAGAGUGCGUAAUAGCUCACUGGUCGAGUGACUCUGCGCCGAAAAUGUACCGGGGCUAAACGUAUCACCGAAGCUGUGGAUUGACAUCUUUGAUGUCAGUGGUAGGAGAGCGUUCUAAGUGCAGCGAAGUCAGACCGUAAGGACUGGUGGAGCGCUUAGAAGUGAGAAUGCCGGUAUGAGUAGCGAAAGACAAGUGAGAAUCUUGUCCACCGAAUGCCUAAGGUUUCCUGAGGAAGGCUCGUCCGCUCAGGGUUAGUCGGGACCUAAGCCGAGGCUGAAAAGCGUAGGCGAUGGCCAACAGGUUGAUAUUCCUGUACCACCUCCCCGCCGUUUGAGUAAUGGGGGGACGCAGUAGGAUAGGGUAAGCGCGCUGCUGGAUAUGCGCGUUCAAGCAGUUAGGCUGAUGAGUAGGCAAAUCCGCUCAUCAUAAAGGCUGAGCUGUGAUGACGAGGGAAUUAUAGUACCGAAGUUCCUGAUUCCACACUGCCAAGAAAAGCCUCUAGCGAGGCGGGAGGUGCCCGUACCGCAAACCGACACAGGUAGGCGAGGAGAGAAUCCUAAGGUGAUCGAGAGAACUCUCGUUAAGGAACUCGGCAAAAUGACCCCGUAACUUCGGGAGAAGGGGUGCUCUGGUAGGGUGUAUAGCCCGAGAGAGCCGCAGUGAAUAGGCCCAGGCGACUGUUUAGCAAAAACACAGGUCUCUGCGAAGCCGCAAGGCGAAGUAUAGGGGCUGACGCCUGCCCGGUGCUGGAAGGUUAAGAGGAGGGGUUAUCCUUUGGGAGAAGCUCUGAAUCGAAGCCCCAGUAAACGGCGGCCGUAACUAUAACGGUCCUAAGGUAGCGAAAUUCCUUGUCGGGUAAGUUCCGACCCGCACGAAAGGCGUAACGAUCUGGGCACUGUCUCAACGAGAGACUCGGUGAAAUUAUAGUACCUGUGAAGAUGCAGGUUACCCGCGACAGGACGGAAAGACCCCGUGGAGCUUUACUGUAGCCUGAUAUUGAAUUUCGGUACAGCUUGUACAGGAUAGGUAGGAGCCUGAGAAGCCGGAGCGCUAGCUUCGGUGGAGGCGUCGGUGGGAUACUACCCUGGCUGUAUUGAAAUUCUAACCCGCGGCCCUGAUCGGGCCGGGAGACAGUGUCAGGUGGGCAGUUUGACUGGGGCGGUCGCCUCCUAAAAUGUAACGGAGGCGCCCAAAGGUUCCCUCAGAAUGGUUGGAAAUCAUUCGUAGAGUGUAAAGGCACAAGGGAGCUUGACUGCGAGACCUACAAGUCGAGCAGGGACGAAAGUCGGGCUUAGUGAUCCGGUGGUUCCGCAUGGAAGGGCCAUCGCUCAACGGAUAAAAGCUACCCCGGGGAUAACAGGCUUAUCUCCCCCAAGAGUCCACAUCGACGGGGAGGUUUGGCACCUCGAUGUCGGCUCAUCGCAUCCUGGGGCUGUAGUCGGUCCCAAGGGUUGGGCUGUUCGCCCAUUAAAGCGGUACGCGAGCUGGGUUCAGAACGUCGUGAGACAGUUCGGUCCCUAUCCGUCGUGGGCGUAGGAAAUUUGAGAGGAGCUGUCCUUAGUACGAGAGGACCGGGAUGGACACACCGCUGGUGUACCAGUUGUCUUGCCAAAGGCAUCGCUGGGUAGCUAUGUGUGGACGGGAUAAGUGCUGAAAGCAUCUAAGCAUGAAGCCCCCCUCAAGAUGAGAUUUCCCAUAGCGCAAGCUAGUAAGAUCCCUGAAAGAUGAUCAGGUUGAUAGGUCAGAGGUGGAAGCGUGGCGACAUGUGUAGCUGACUGAUACUAAUCGAUCGAGGACUUAACC
rnacentral:rRNA from 2 species